UUUCCUACGGGAGGCAGCAGUGAGGAAUAUUGGUCAAUGGGCGGGAGCCUGAACCAGCCAAGUCGCGUGAGGGAAGACGGUCCUAUGGAUUGUAAACCUCUUUAGGCGGGGAGCAAUGCCGGGCACGCGUGCCCGGAGGGAGAGUACCCGCAGAAUAAGCAUCGGCUAACUCCGUGCCAGCAGCCGCGGUAAUACGGAGGAUGCGAGCGUUAUCCGGAUUUAUUGGGUUUAAAGGGUGCGUAGGCGGUAUUUUAAGUUAGUGGUAAAACGUCGGGGUUUCACCUUGAUUGGCCAUUAAAACUGGG
rnacentral:rRNA from 1 species